UAAGGUGUGUACUCGACCCAUAAUAAUCUUUACCAAGAUAGAAGAUUUCGAUUCAGAUGCUGCAGCACCAAAAGAGUUUGUCAAUAUGAUUGUCGUUGGACUGGUUACGUCCAUACCUAUAAAGGCCUGAAGAACUAUGUGGUACCAAAUGGCUAUUUUAUCACUGGGGCAAAAAGUCACCACGACGACCGCCACGAGUAAGUUCAACAAUCAUAAUUCCUCACAGGAGGUUUUGCUUUCAUUUUGGGCACGAUUACAGGUGAACCACGUCAAGCGUUCCUCUUUUGAGUUCCUAGCUUUGAUUGCAAUUUUCUUCAUAACUUUGCAAAUUUGAAAAACUCGCUUGCAGAUUCCUUGAGAGAAUUAAGAGCCAAUUCAAUUUUCCUGAGUUCCUGUUAUAGAAGUUCUUAACUUCCUGUUACAAGUUCCUAACUUCCUGUUCUGUUCUGUGCGUUGUAAUUGGCUAACAAAAAUAAUCCACCAACGACAACGCCCAGAACAGAACACGACACGACACAACACAACACAACACAACACAACACAACACAACACGACACAACACAACACAACACAACACAACACAACACAACACAACACAACACACACACACAACACAACACAACACAACACGACACGACACAACACAACACAACACAACACAACACAACACAACACGACACAACACAACACAACACAACACAACACAACACAACACAACACAACACGACACAACACAACACGACACAACACAACACAACACAACAGAAAGUCAGGAAAUUAAAACAGGAAGUUAGGAAAAUUCAAAAGGAAGUUUCUCAACAUUGGAAUAUUGCGACAGCCGAUAGAAACAUUAAGUUUGGUUUCCAAAUGGUCGUAAAAAUAGAAUCACGAUCUCAACACCCAGUUUAUAAUAGUUUAUACCUGUAAACCACAUAUAAAUCAUAAGGAUUCUCUAAUUCCAAUCAUUCCGCGCAUUUUCAGUUCUAAAAUGUUGUAUUUCGGCUAAUGAGAAAGAUCGUGAUUCAAAUUUUAUACAACCGUUACGAUCAUAUGCAAAACAGGCUUUACAAAUUUCCUCAAGGGAUUUGCAAAAGGUUUUUCAAAUUUGCUAAGACAAUUAGGAAAAUUCCAAUUGAGUCAGUAACUCAAAAGAGGAAAUUAAUUAAUUAUUAAUUUCUUAAUUAAAGCGCUUAAAACAAGUAAAUACGGUAUACUGUUUGGGUCUGGGUGGGCGUUUCUCAUUAAAGUAUACAGCUAAUUCAAAAAAGGUUGUCCUUUGCAGACCUUAAGCUUUAAACUUUGAACUCCAAGCGUGCAAAGCAUAAUGGGACAUAAUUUAAUCAGUUUAGAAAUCAUAUAUGGGGGCCAUUUCUUAGAGACAUGGUAAAUAUCUUCUUACGAGAACAAUUCAUUCAUAAAUAGCUGCAAUAUUCAACUACUAAGCUUGAAAUCUGUGCUCCUAUUAAGUUUUGCACGCUUAGAGUUAAGGUUUACAAACGACAACCUUUUCUGUAUUGGCUGUAUAUGACAUCAUAAUGUCUCUUUCGUGUUUUUUAGGGACAGAGUAUGGCGAUUCUUGAUAUGUCGUUUUCAUUGAGGAGUUCUUGAAGUCCCGAAGGCCUACGUGCAAUUAUUGACCUUUUUCUAUGUUUUAUACUUACUUUUCUAUCUUUUAUAAAUAGUUCAUUAAAGCGAAUCGCUGCAUCUUCAGUUUUUUCUUAUUAAUGUAAUUUUAAUAAACGUUAAUUAAUGUAUUUGUAAUAAUGUUACGAGUAUUAAAAUAAAAUGCAAUAAACUCUA